rnacentral:rRNA from 1 species
AUUGAACGCUGGCGGCAUGCUUUACACAUGCAAGUCGAACGGCAGCACGGGCUUCGGCCUGGUGGCGAGUGGCGAACGGGUGAGUAAUGCAUCGGAACGUACCGUGUAGUGGGGGAUAACGUAGCGAAAGUUACGCUAAUACCGCAUACGCCCCGAGGGGGAAAGUGGGGGACCGCAAGGCCUCACGCUAUAUGAGCGGCCGAUGUCGGAUUAGCUAGUUGGUAGGGUAAAGGCCUACCAAGGCGACGAUCCGUAGCGGGUCUGAGAGGAUGAUCCGCCACACUGGGACUGAGACACGGCCCAGACUCAUACGGGAGGCAGCAGUGGGGAAUUUUGGACAAUGGGCGCAAGCCUGAUCCAGCCAUGCCGCGUGAGUGAAGAAGGCCUUCGGGUUGUAAAGCUCUUUCAGACGGAAAGAAAUCUCUCAGGAUAAUACCUUGGGAGGAUGACGGUACCGUAAGAAGAAGCACCGGCUAACUACGUGCCAGCAGCCGCCGUAACAC